GGGAGGGCGGGGGAGAGGCGGGCGGGAGGGUGCUCCGAGGAGCUCCAGCCAGGGCCGCGGUGCGCCUGCACGUCACGGCUGCUCAAACCCAAGCACGUCCCGAAAGCGGUAUUUUCUGCGUCUGGGAGGUUUUUGCAUCCUCAGUUCCCACCGCUGGGGCUGGCGGCGACCAACUCGUGGACCUGACGCAGCCAGAGAGCUGUCAUUUCAGCACUGGGAUUCAGAAUUGAUCCAAUUCGCAACGGAGGGGGCACAUCCCAGCUCCCGAACUGCUGCAUGUCUCUGGCUGGAACAAUAGUAGUUUUUCUCUGGAAGGCUGCAAUUAACAUCUUAUUUGUUCUGGCUCCAUACAGGCUUUGUCAGGACCGCGGUGCGGCGACCGAGGUAUACUAGAAAUCAAGAUUCUUCAUUCCUCACUAAGGACAAGAAGCUGUGAAUUCUCUGGACUUCAGUUAUCUCACAGAAAAGAGCUUGAUUGUAUUCUCUCAUUUUGCCUUCUGGAUCUCCAUGCUCCUUUAUACCAACAAGCAAGAGGGAGAAUAUUCUCUCUACCUGCUUCAUUAACUGAAGCCUGCUCUUAUGAAGACAUGACAUCUCUUCCAACUAUGUCAAACAAGCAAUUUGUGGGUAUGCUGCUUCCACACCCUGAUUAAAUGGGGAGAUGCUGCCCUUAUCUAAGAAGCCAGCCCCUCUACAGAUAUAGGCAUUCUAUCCUGGGACCUGCAUUGGAACUACUUAUAACAGGCACCCUUCAAUUGAUGUGAAGCCAUUCUGGUUACCUUGUUUUAUCCUGGUCCAGACAGAGAACUGAUCAAACAUCUUAUAACCACUGAGAUUGUUGAUGAGUACAAUUGAAGACUCAGGGAGGAAAUACAAUUCCUUUCAAAUUAAUUAAUUAAAAUUAUAAAUGGACUUCAUGGAAGUGAAAGAGAACUAUUCAUAGAACUAAUAAAAUGUUAUCAAUGCACCCAUUUAAGAAGAAUGUUUGUUACACCUUUGUUCCAGCAGUACAUAUGCCGUAUGUGAAAUCUCAAAGGAGAUUAUCAUUGCCCACAGUGCAAAGAUAACCAAAACACAGCAGUGAUGCAAUAUAGCUUUUGAGACAGGCCAAAGUUUGAAUUCUGACUCAGCCUCCUAAUAAUGUUGUAGACUUGGAGAAAUCAUUUUACACCAAGUUUUAGCAUUUUUUUUAAAAAAACAAUUAUUAAGGUAAUACUGCUUACUUAACACUAAUAUAAAGAUUAAGAACAACAUGGAAAAUGCCAAAUACAGUGGCAGAAGUAAAAGGAACUUUAAGAAGUGGUAACUAUUGGUGCUGUUGACAAGCAUAUUGUAUGACUGAGUUAAACACAGAGAAAGUAAAGACGGAUACAAAAGCCUCCUGUUCUCAAGGCAAAGAAAAGCUUUGGUCUGAAAUACUGUAGAUAGCACUGAGCAGAGUGAAGAAAAAUGGUUCUAUAUCUCACAUUGUAACAAUGGUCUUACAUUUUAUUAGACUAGAGACUACUUGCCUUACCAAAUUUAUCAAGGACUCAGCAAAGUUUAAAAAAGCAUAUAUAAACAUUUCUAUGCUAUGGUUUACUAGUUCAAAUAUAAUUAUUUAAGCUUAACUGCUUCUACAUAUUUUUCAAUGCAAAGCAAAAUAAAAUCUAGAUAUAGAAAACUAUUUGCAUCAGGCAGUUGUCUUGAGGUAGUAACUUUUAUGCCAUGACAUUUGGCGUCCGAUUGGUUAUCUGUAAAUUCUGAACAUGUUUAAAUUCUCUUCAAAAAUAUUAUGUAUAUGAUAGUGUUGAUUUAUGUUUUCACAAGUAGUAUUUAAAACAUAAAUCUGUUCUUACUUCUGAAUACAACGCCCAGUUACAAGUAACAUAUAAAACCAGCAUUCAGAUACAUCCCUAAUGAUGUUGAAGAAUUUUUCAUUUAAUCGAACUUGGGUAAUGAAAAAUUUAUCUAUAAUUCAGGAUAAAUAUGGUAAUUUUAAAUUCAAAUUUAGAUUUCUUUCUGUGAAAACAGAAAUAAUAAACUAUCAAAAUAUCUAUUAAAGUAUUCAUACAAAUGAGAAAGUAUUACUGGAAUCUGUAAACCUACUUUUCAUUCUUGAUUAUUGAAGAGUAAUCACCAUAAUUCUCAACAGUGGCAAAAUAUUCAAGGCAUGUGUUAACUAUAACAAUUUUCAUGUUUUUGAAAUCUACAUGAUUAAAAGUUUGUUGAAAGAGGCAUUGAAUGUAAAGUUUUAUUCUGAGGUGAAUGUUUCUAGCUAAUGUCAGACUACUUAAACCCUUUUGAAAAAAAGAGCAUAUGACUUUGGCAGUAUAAUUGAGUGCUUCUAUAUUAAGUCUCAAGAAAUUGGAAUAUUAAAUUUCUGUCAUGUGCUUACAGUAAAGAGCAGAUUGUAAUAAUCAUUAAAAAUUUAGAUCAUAAAAAUUAAAAUUUAAGGUUAAACUCUAUAGCUGUUUCCAGGUACUGAAGUUUUCAAAAGGUGUUAAGCGGUGUUCUAGGAUCAUUACUAUGGGUUACUAAAUUGCAACAUUCUUUUGAAGCAAUUAUUAAGGGGUAAGAGUUAAUUUGUCACAAUGACCAAUAUUUUCAUUUCCUAAAAAUUGUUGAGUCUGUCCAUUAAUACAAAAAGAAAACCAGAUUGGAGACCUUGGGAGAGAAUAUUGUAUGUGUUUUAAGACAAAUUCAUCUUACUCUUCUGAGUCUUUAUAAAGAAUCACUUUGUAGCAAAGAACUCUAUGUCUAUGCCCAUAGAGUUCAUAAAAAAUUGUGAAAUUCCAUUAAAAUUCAAUAGGAAUUUUAGAAUCAGGUCAGCUAUCCUGUUAGGUAAAGAAAAUUGAUGUUGAUACCUGAACAGCAUAUGAGAUCAAGAAUAAUAUACCAAAAGAGGUUUCUUUCCUCUUCAUAUAUUUUGCUCAUGUCUGUUGGAAUGUGGAAUGGAACCAGAUUCUACUAACAAACCUAAAAUUUGAUCAAAUUCCUAUAUCAUCCAUUUGACAACUUUGAUAUUUUAAUUACUCUUUGGAACCCGUUUGAUUUUUCUCUUGUCAGUGUCAUCUUUGUGUUCCGUCUCUCAGCUUUUAGGAUUUUCUCUUAAUUUUUAGAAUUCUGAUAUUUCACCAAGCAAUGUGUAGGUAGGUAAGAUGCUUUCCCAGUAAACCUGCUCCACACUUGGUGGGCCCUCCCUUUCCUUCCUUCCUUUCUCUUUUUCUUUCUUUCUUUUUCUUUUUCUUUCUUUCUCUCUUUUUCCUUUCUUUCUUUUUCUUUCUCUCUUUCUCCCUUCCUUCCUUCCUUUCCUCCCUCCCUCCUUCCUUCCCUCCUUCCCUCUCUCCCUCCCUCCUUCCCUUCUCUCCCCUCCCCCCUUUUCCUUCAGGGUCUUGCUUUGUCAUCCAGGCUGGAGUGCAGUGGUACAGUCCUGAUUAACUGCAGCCUUGACCUCUCAGACUUAAGUGAUUGCUUUUCCCACUUCAACCUCUGGAAUAGCUGGGACUGCAGGCAUGCAUCAGUAUGCCUGGCUAAUUUUUUUGUUUUUGGUAGAGACAGGGUUUUGCCAUGUUGGCCAGGCUGAUCUCAAACUCCUGAGCUAAAGCAAUCCAUCUGCCAAAAAGAAAAAAAAAAUUACUCUUUUAACACAAACAUUUCAUUUCUAUCUUUUCCCCACAUCUACAAUUAGAAACUUAUAUCAAAGAUGGAAUUAUUGGGUAAGAUUAAAAUAACAUUCGAUACUAGAGAAUGAGAAAUGAAUAUUUAAAUGAAAUCUCUAGUAAUGAGAAUGAGAAAUUAUCACCUAGUUAAAAUAAUCUGGUAAGUAAAUUAGCUGGAAUCUUGUUACUGUAGUCCUAUGACAUAAAUACAUAGAUGAUGAUAGAUGGUAGAUAGACAGAUAGAUAGAUAGGUAGAUAGAGAUGGUGUUAAUAGGAGUCUUCUAUGUCUCCUGAGAUCUUAGUAAGAAUGCUUAAAAAAUCCAAUUUAAUAUUUGUUGAAAUUACUAACCCCUCAACACACAAUUUGACAUUGUACAUUAGACAUUCAUGUUCCUAAAAUUUUCUUUAACUGUAGCCCUGUUCCUUUUCCAUAUUCUUUUCCCCAAUUUCUUCUGAUUUUCUCCAGGAAAAAUGACCAGAACAUUAUUUUAUCUUCUCUUGAAAUCCUUGUACUUCUGUUGUCAAAUCAUAUUUCCAAGCAACUCACUAAUGCAUUUUCCAAAGAUAUUUGUUUCCUCCCUGAGAAAUGUCAUGGUGCCAGCUAUAAAGAUAAUUAAUUUAAAUAUUAUAUAACUAAAUAAACAUCCACAUUGAUACUGAUAUUGCUGAUUAUAUUUUACAUAUCAUCUUGGCUAAGAAGGUUAAUUCUGAAAUCAGAAUCCUGGGUUUAAUUUGUAGUAUUGCCACUUACUCAUUAAAGGUUUUUAACUUUUAUUGAAACCUGAUUUCUUCAACAGUAAGGUGGGGUGGGAUGUAUAGUCUUCACAUUGGACAGUUGUAGAAUUAAUCAUAAGAAGUAUAAAUACUGAUUACGGUCCCACCCAGUCAUAGUCAGUUUUCUUACAUAUAAAAUGGAAAUACUAAUAGCAACUACUUUCUAAACUUAAUAUGCUGUAUAAGAGGAAAAUGCAACUAAAAUGCUAGCACAACUCAUGGUUUACAUCAGUGCGUAAUAUAUUUUAUUGCUACUACAAUUAGCAAUAAAUGGUGGUAACAACACCGUUUUUCUAUACACAGUAUCUCUUUGAUAUAUCUUGCAAUUA